GGAAAACGUGUGUAAAAAGGCCAUGUUCUAAUGUCUCCACUGUGCGACCCAGGGACGUAGAUGCCAGUUUAUGGUCUGCUCUCGGGAACCACCAGCGAACCUUAAGCAUCUGACUCCUCAGCUCAGAGCCUUACACCCGUAGUUACUGAUGUUGAUUGGAAGUAUGAGUUAUCUGCUCCCAGCCUUCUUCAGAGCUGUUGUGAAAGUGAACGAUGUAUGUGUCUGUCUGCAGAAAGCUUUCCAGAAUUAAACAUCUCACUGUUCCUUGAGAAAAGCAGCCCCCAACCUACUGCCCAAACUGCUGUUCCCAUCAGUGUUCUAAGUCAGACAAGACAGAAGCCAGUCCCUUGAGCAGCCCCCCAAGAGAAUGUUGGAUGCACAGCUCACUCUUUUUCCUGCUUGAGGGAGAAGCUGGAGUUGGG
rnacentral:lncRNA from 1 species